GACAAUAAUCCAUUUUCAUUUACAUAGUAAGAGCAUGGAUACCCUUAGAUUUAUUUAACUUUUUCUAUUCCUACUGAUUUAAAAUUUUUCUCUUAAAAUUAUGGAUUUUUUCAAAGUUGACAUUAUUUUCUCUUUCAUUAAAUCAUUAGAAAGUGUGACCUUUGUUUAUAUGCUACUUAUGAUUAAUCUUUACAUUAAAAAAAUAUUUUACCUUUAUAAUAUAUACAUUUUUCUAACAAUGCCAAAAAGGAACUAUCUGCAACUUCUCUUCCAGCCAAAAUAAACGUUUAGCAUGGGGAAGCAACAGAAUGCAAAGCUAACUUUCCUUCUGGUUGUACACAGAAUUAGGUUUAUGGGCAAAGGAGUUGCCUGCUAGGCCUGCUUUUUUUCUUCUUCUUC
rnacentral:lncRNA from 1 species